AGACUGCCGGUGACAAACCGGAGGAAGGUGGGGAUGACGUCAAGUCAUCAUGGCCCUUACGGCCAGGGCUACACACGUGCUACAAUGGUCGGUACAAAGGGUUGCCAAGCCGCGAGGUGGAGCUAAUCCCAUAAAACCGAUCGUAGUCCGGAUCGCAGUCUGCAACUCGACUGCGUGAAGUCGGAAUCGCUAGUAAUCGUGAAUCAGAAUGUCACGGUGAAUACGUUCCCGGGCCUUGUACACACCGCCCGUCACACCAUGGGAGUGGGUUGCUCCAGAAGUAGCUAGUCUAACCGC
rnacentral:rRNA from 1 species